rnacentral:RNase_P_RNA from 2 species
AGUGCAAGCUGGCUUGUCGCUGUUUCGUCUGACGAAAGAGAGGAAAGUCCGGGCAACAUAGAGCGCCAUACUUCCUAACGGGAAGGGGUCAAGUUGGUGACGACUUGGCUACAGAUAGUGCCACAGAAAAUAUACCGCCCCGAUCUUGAUCGGAGUAAGGGUGAAAUGGUGGGGUAAGAGCCCACCGUCCCAAUGGCGACAUUGGGAGCAGGGCAAACCUUAUGGGUUGAAAGACCAAAUAGGUCCCGCACCAGAUUCAAUUCUGGAAAAGGCUGCUCGUCUUUCUGCGGGAUGGGUAGGUUGAUUGAGUCUGUUCGCGAGGGCAGAUCUAGAUAAAUGACAAGCAUUCUUAUUGCAAAGCAAAAAGAACACAGAACCCGGCUUAUAGGCUUGCACUCUUU